rnacentral:tRNA from 1 species
GACUCUUUAAUAUAACCAAUUAUGAUUAACUUCCAAUUAAUCAAUCCCAUAAGGAAGAGUUA